CGGACCGGCGGACGCAGCCCCUGUCUAGGCGCAAGGUUCGAACCCCAGCGACUGCAACAAAAGGAUUUUCCUCUCGCGCGCGCCUUCCCCAAACUCGCUGCCUCGCUCCCCACGGAACCCGGCUUGCAACGGCGCUGACGCCCCCCGCCGAACCCGCCCUGCGCCGCCCGCCUCGCCCCCAUCCUACCCGCCCUGCAACGGCGCUGGUGAACCUGCCCUGCGCCGCCGACGAAACCACCGCUUGCUCCGGCAGCCGCGGCACACGGGGCGCACGGCGGCUCCGGCAGGUUUCGGCCGGCGCCGCCGGGACGCGCCAGGAGCGGGUUCGGCCGCCGACGUCGUGGCCCGCGCGGAGACGACGUCGGGACCCCUCCACGCGCCUCCAGCAUCCCAGGCGGAGACACAACCGCCGUCGCCGGCGCUGCGGGCUGCCGCAUGGCCGCGUGCUGCUGCGCGCUGCGUCCACCGCCGUGCCGCUCGCGGGUCCCGAGGACCUGCCUCUUCUUGCACCGGUCUGCCGCCUCAGGGAGGGGGCGGAGCAUGGUGGCCGGACAUCAAUGGAGGUCGUGAAGGAGGAGGGGUAACGGAAGAGAGGAGGCGAGGGGAUUGUGGCGGCAUACUUCAUGGCAAGCUAUGCACUUCCGCCGCCACCACAGGUCCCUACAUCGGCAAGCUCCCCAGCUCCAGCGCCCACCUCCACCUCGCCGGAGAUUGCCGGAUAUGGUGGACCCGGUUCCCCACUACCUCUCCCACCCCCUUCUUCUUCCUUAUCGAUCCGUGGCCGUACAGCAAGUGACCGUACAACUUCCCCAAAUCACCAGACUUCCCCUAGGCCGGGGGGAGAGGCUCGGUCACCAGCAGGCUAUUGGUCAGACAUGUUCGUGAGCAACGGUGACAUGCCACCAGCGAUGGCGUAUGUCGGGCUCGCCGCGCUCGAGCAGCCCGGCUCCCGAGCGACAGAGUGCAAGUUUGCACCCGGCGAGGGCACCCGACGGCAGCCCCCCGGCGAGGGCGCGCGGCGCCUCCUCCCGUGGAGGCUCACGCGAUGGCAUCCAGGCCGUGCGGCGGCGGCGGCGGCCCCCGGCAGCCCGGCCAGGGCGCGCAUGUGUACCUGUGGCGAGUCGUCAGCGAGCUGCGGGAGAUCCAGAUCAUGCAGCAUUUUUCUGGACAGCCAAGACAGCCAAACAUUGUUGAGUUCAGGGGAGCGUUGGAGGAUAAUAGCAAUGUGCAUGUGGUGAUGGAGCUCUGCUCAGGUGGUGAGCUAUUCAAUCGGAUCAUUGCUAAAGGCCACUACACAGAAUGGUCAGCUGCUACAAUCUGCAGAGCAGUUGUGAAUGUUGUGAACAUUUGUGCGUCGUGAUCUGAAACUAGAGAAAUUCUUGCUCGCAACCAAGGAGGAGAAUGCAAUGCUUAAGGCCACUGAUUUCGGGCUUUCAGUCUCCAAUGAAGAAGGUAAUAUGAAUAUAUACGAUCUGUGUACACUUCGAAUGUGCAUUGUAUCGCAAUAUCAUUAUAUAUUUUUGAGCAUUGAUCUGUUAAGGUUCGUGGCUGUAGUUUUCAAUUUUUCUUAUUGCUAUACAACUCAGCUAAGGCUAGCAUUCCAUAUAUACCUAAUCUGGUUUCAAUUCAGUAGAGCGUAUGGUACUCUUUAUUCGAAGCAAUUCAAGAGCUUGUGCUUAAUUGACACACCAUCUGACCAUGUUACAGGCAAUAUUUUUUUUGUCACUGCAAAGUGUAAACAGAGUGUGCCUUAACUUAAAGAUCUGUUGAUCCUGCCAGCUUCACAGAGAAGAGAACUAGCCAAAACUGGUGAUGUUUGCUAUGUUUCCAUUCAUAAUUUAGCACUGAAAAGUGGAAACCAUAAAGCUGGUUCUGUAUCAGUUAUGACUUGUGAGUGGCCACUGAAACCACUACCAAAUUAGUAAUGGUAGCUCAAUGGUUAUUAAUGGUACCACUUUUGAUAGUUUUAUAUAUGUAUAUCCAGUAUGGAGCUUUGCAUGGCAGAGGUAGAGGAACUUCAAUUAAGCUGUAGUGUAAAGACUUGAGAAUUAUAUUGGAAAAAUUAUGUUUGUGUGAGAGCUGUAGUGCAAGAGCCGGUACAAAGGAGAUGAAUGUUUACCCAUUGUAUUGAUCGUUAGUGUCUUCACUAUCUUUGCAAGUCAGGUGAAUAUCCAUACUAGAGAUUUGAGGAAAUAGCGGACAUAAAAUGAGCAAAUGAGAAUUUCAACAUUUCUAUAUUUCACAUCAGUUUUACAGUACUGGGGUUCCAAUAUCACUUUGUCUCUUUGUUCUGCGUAUCUGAAAUCUGCCCCUUAAUCUGUUGCCAAGGAUUAAGCUAAUUGUUGUGUUCCUCCAUUUUCCAUAUAAGCUUCUUUAGACUGGGCUUGACAGAUUUACAGUGAGACUCCGGCCAUAGGAACUAUCGAGGGUUCGAUUCGCUCUCUCUCCUUUUGUUUAUUGAAUAUAUUUGUUUCUUUCUAGGUUUUCUUUGUCAGUUUGGUGAGUUAAUUGUCCCACAAAAUGCAACAUAAUAAUAACUCCAUAGUUCCUAUGCAACAUAAUAAUAACUCCAUCGUUUCUGAUCCGAAAUUUGUUGACGCAGGGAGGGAACAAGUUUCUGAGCUACAUCCAGUGCUGUAUCAACGCCUCAAGAGAAGAAAGUGCUUUCACUGCCUAUGUGAACAAUUAGGUCUCAGUUUUGCUAAAUAUCCAAAAAUGUGUAAUAUAUUUACUCUGAUGGCUGCUCCGUCGGUAUGUACGAAGAACAAACCAGUUUUAUGUUUGCUUGUACAAGCCGUCAUUAACUUAUUUGUGAUACGUGGUAAUUAUGAUCUAA